rnacentral:rRNA from 1 species
AAUAGAUACCCAGGUAGUCCACGCCGUAAACGAUGAGUGCUAAGUGUUAGGGGGUUUCCGCCCCUUAGUGCUGCAGCUAACGCAUUAAGCACUCCGCCUGGGGAGUACGGUCGCAAGACUGAAACUCAAAGGAAUUGACGGGGGCCCGCACAAGCGGUGGAGCAUGUGGUUUAAUUCGAAGCAACGCGAAGAACCUUACCAGGUCUUGACAUCCCAUUGACCGCUAUGGAGACAUAGCUUUCCCUUCGGGGACAGUGGUGACAGGUGGUGCAUGGUUGUCGUCAGCUCGUGUCGUGAGAUGUUGGGUUAAGUCCCGCAACGAGCGCAACCCUUGUUCUUAGUUGCCAUCAUUUAGUUGGGCACUCUAAGGAGACUGCCGGUGACAAACCGGAGGAAGGUGGGGAUGGACGUCAAAUCAUCAUGCCCCUUAUGACCUGGGCUACACACGUGCUACAAUGGACGGUACAAACGGUUGCCGAACCCGCGAGGGGGAGCUAAUCCGAUAAAACCGUUCUCAGUUCGGAUUGUAGGCUGCAACUCGCCUAC